rnacentral:rRNA from 1 species
UACGGAGGGAGCUAGCGUUGUUCGGAAUUACUGGGCGUAAAGCGCACGUAGGCGGCUUUUUAAGUCAGGGGUGAAAUCCCGGGGCUCAACCCCGGAACUGCCCUUGAAACUGGAUGGCUAGAAUCUUGGAGAGGCGAGUGGAAUUCCGAGUGUAGAGGUGAAAUUCGUAGAUAUUCGGAAGAACACCAGUGGCGAAGGCGACUCGCUGGACAAGUAUUGACGCUGAGGUGCGAAAGCGUGGGGAGCAAACAGG